AUUAAUAGAUCACUUUUAGCUCUUGGGAAUGUCAUCAAUGCCUUAGCAGAUUCAAAGAGAAAGAAUCAGCAUAUCCCUUACAGAAAUAGUAAGCUUACUCGCUUGUUAAAGGAUUCUCUUGGAGGAAACUGUCAAACUAUAAUGAUAGCUGCUGUUAGUCCUUCCUCUGUAUUCUACGAUGACACAUAUAACACUCUUAAGUAUGCUAACCGGGCAAAGGACAUUAAAUCUUCUGUAAGUCUGUUUACUCUGCCUUUGUUGUGAAGGUAUUGUCUGCAUAUGAUUUUUAUAAUUGUAAUGAAAGUAUUAAUUCAGGUUAUGUUUCUACAUAAUGAGUUAGGCAGCUGAGGGUUAGAAGGGUCUUUGCUAACCUGCUUAGUCGAACAUUAAUUUAGACGGUUAAACCAUAAAGCAUCUUGAUUAUAUAUAUAUAUAUAUAAUAGAUACUAUUAUUCGAUCUUUUGGGUACUAUGGUACUUGAGUGGCUUUCUCCCUAACCUCUUUGAUGUCAUGGCGUAUUGUAUUUGGAUGGCAUCUUGGAGUAAUCACUCAAAACUUGAACACAUUUGUUGCAGCCCAGGAUGAUGCUCUG
rnacentral:lncRNA from 1 species